AUACGGAGGAUCCGAGCGUUAUCCGGAUUUAUUGGGUUUAAAGGGUGCGCAGGCGGCCAUUUAAGUCAGCGGUUAAAUCGUGAGGCUCAACCCCAUUCUGCCGUUGAUACUGGGUGGCUUGAUUGCGGUCGAGGUUGGCGGAAUUCGUUGUGUAGCGGUGAAAUGCAUAGAUAUGACGAAGAACACCGAUUGCGUAGGCAGCUGACCAGACCGCAAAUGACGCUCAUGCACGAAAGUGCGGGGAUCGAACAGGAUUAGAUACCCUGGUAGUCCGCACAGUAAACGAUGAAUACUUGUUUUCGGCGAUAUAAUGUCGGAGGCAAAGCGAAAGCGAUAAGUAUUCCACCUGGGGAGUACGCCGGCAACGGUGAAACUCAAAUGAAUUGACGGGG
rnacentral:rRNA from 1 species